CCAAUAGCGUAUAUUAAAGUUGUUGCAGUUAAAAAGCUCGUAGUUGAAUUUCGGGGUUAGUAGGUUGGUCAUGCCUCUGGUAUGUACUGGUCUCACUGAUUCCUCCUUCCUGACGAACCGUAAUGCCAUUAAUUUGGUGUUGCGGGAAAUUUGGACUGUUACUCUGAAAAAAUUAGAGUGUUUAAAGCAAGCUAACGCUUGAAUACAUUAGCAUGGAAUAAUGAAAUAGGACGUUCGAUCCUAUUUUGUUGGUUUCUAGGAUUGACGUAAUGAUUAAUAGGGAUAGUUGGGGGCAUUAGUAUUAAAUUGUCAGAGGUGAAAUUCUUGGAUUUAUUGAAGACUAACUACUGCGAAAGCAUUUGCCAAGGAUGUUUUCAUUAAUCAAGAACGAAAGUUAGGGGAUCGAAGACGAUCAGAUACCGUCGUAGUCUUAACCAUAAACUAUGCCGACUAGGGAUCGGAUGAUAAUUUUUUAAUGACUCAUUCGGCGCCUUACG
rnacentral:rRNA from 1 species